GGCUUUAUAGUGUAGUGGUUAUCACACUGGAUUUUGAAGUUAUUUGACUUCCAGUGACCCAGGUUCGAACCCUGGUAAGGCCU
rfam:Pleurotus ostreatus PC15 unplaced genomic scaffold scaffold_05, whole genome shotgun sequence.